rnacentral:rRNA from 1 species
UACGGGAAGGGCAAGCGUUUAUCCGGCGUGACUGGGCGUAAAGAGUCCGUAGACGGUAAUAUAAGUUUAUUGUUAAAUUUUAAAACUCAAUUUUAAGAAAGCAAUAAAUACUGUUUUACUUCGAGUUCAAUACAGAAAAGUAGAAUUUUAUAUGGUAGGGGUGAAAUCCGUAGAUAUAUAAAGGAAUGCCAACAGCGAAGGCAACUUUUUAGUAUAAACUGACGUUGAGGGACGAAAGUGUGGGGAGCAAACAGG